rnacentral:sRNA from 1 species
GUCUACUUGCGUAUUCUACUGGGUGUUC